rnacentral:siRNA from 1 species
UCGAGACAGGAUACCUCUCGAGAG